rnacentral:rRNA from 1 species
CCUCUCGCCCUAUUCAGUGUAACAGCUGUGGUAGUGGGUUUGGUCGCUCGCAUUUAAAUUGGAAGGGUAAUGGUGGACCGCACUUCUCCCUUAGUAGGACGUUGCGACCUGUCAAAUAAUAUUCUAAGUAUUUGGCUAAUUUGUCUGUUUUUAGGCAAUACCGAAAGGUAUUUCCUUUAACAGUUUUAGCCAAUUUAAAUACUGGAUAAAAUUGACAGUAACGAACCAUGGUGUUGAGCCACUUGAAAUUGUAUAUAUUUUUAUAAUAUGUAUAAUGGAAAGUGUCCUUGUGUGGCUGUUUGCAAGUGGGUUGGUUAUAUAGUUUUAGUCGGAUUUCGGUCCGUCUAGCUAUUCCGCCUACUGUUGGUAAACUGUUCCUUGGACAGUGCUUAUAACACCGGUCGGCAGCGAUUCAGGUUCAGGCUCUUAUCCGACCCGUCUUGAAACACGGACCAAGGAGUUUAG